AUUGAACGCUAGCGGGAUGCUUUACACAUGCAAGUCGAAUGGCAGCGCGGACUUCGGUCUGGCGGCGAGUGGCGAACGGGUGAGUAAUGUAUCGGAACGUGCCCAGUAGCGGGGGAUAACUACGCGAAAGCGUAGCUAAUACCGCAUACGCCCUACGGGGGAAAGCAGGGGAUCGUAAGACCUUGCACUAUUGGAGCGGCCGAUAUCGGAUUAGCUAGUUGGUGAGGUAACGGCUCACCAAGGCGACGAUCCGUAGCUGGUUUGAGAAGACGACCAGCCACACUGGGACUGAGACACGGCCCAGACUCCUACGGGAGGCAGCAGUGGGGAAUUUUGGACAAUGGGGGCAACCCUGAUCCAGCCAUCCCGCGUGUGCGAUGAAGGCCUUCGGGUUGUAAAGCACUUUUGGCAGGAAAGAAACGUCGCGGGCUAAUACCCCGUGGAACUGACGGUACCUGCAGAAUAAGCACCGGCUAACUACGUG
rnacentral:rRNA from 1 species